AGGGGAUAGCUCAGUGGUAGAGUGCCUGCCUGGCAUGCACGAAGUCCUGGGUUCAAUGUCCAGAACUUCUG
rnacentral:tRNA from 1 species